AUUGAACGCUGGCGGCAGGCUUAACACAUGCAAGUCGAGCGGAGAUGAGGUGCUUGCACCUUAUCUUAGCGGCGGACGGGUGAGUAAUGCUUAGGAAUCUGCCUAUUAGUGGGGGACAACAUUCCGAAAGGAAUGCUAAUACCGCAUACGUCCUACGGGAGAAAGCAGGGGAUCUUCGGACCUUGCGCUAAUAGAUGAGCCUAAGUCGGAUUAGCUAGUUGGUGGGGUAAAGGCCUACCAAGGCGACGAUCUGUAGCGGGUCUGAGAGGAUGAUCCGCCACACUGGGACUGAGACACGGCCCAGACUCCUCCGGGAGGCAGCAGUGGGGAAUAUUGGACAAUGGGGGGAACCCCGAUCCAGCCAUGCCGCGUGUGUGAAGAAGGCCUUAUGGUUGUAAAGCACUUUAAGCGAGGAGGAGGCUACUGAGACUAAUACUCUUGGAUAGUGGACGUUACUCGCAGAAUAAGCACCGGCUAACUCUGUGCCAGCCGCCGCGGUAAUAC
rnacentral:rRNA from 1 species